rnacentral:rRNA from 1 species
GAUGAACGCUGGCGGCGUGCCUAAUACAUGCAAGUCGAGCGAACAGAUGAGGAGCUUGCUCCUCUGACGUUAGCGGCGGACGGGUGAGUAACACGUGGAUAACCUACCUAUAAGACUGGGAUAACUUCGGGAAACCGGAGCUAAUACCGGAUAAUAUAUUGAACCGCAUGGUUCAAUAGUGAAAGACGGUUUUGCUGUCACUUAUAGAUGGAUCCGCGCCGCAUUAGCUAGUUGGUAAGGUAACGGCUUACCAAGGCGACGAUGCGUAGCCGACCUGAGAGGGUGAUCGGCCACACUGGAACUGAGACACGGUCCUGACUCCUACGGGAGGCAGCAGUAGGGAAUCUUCCGCAAUGGGCGAAAGCUUGACGGAGCAACGCCGCGUGAGUGAUGAAGGUCUUCGGAUCGUAAAACUCUGUUAUUAGGGAAGAACAAAUGUGUAAGUAACUAUGCACGUCUUGACGGUACCUAAUCAGAAAGCCACGGCUAACUACGUG